rnacentral:rRNA from 1 species
UAAGAGCGAAUGGUGGAUGCCUUGACUGGUAAAGGCGAUGAAGGACGUACUAGACUGCGAUAAGCUACGGGGAGCUGUCAAGAAGCUUUGAUCCGUAGAUUUCCGAAUGGGGCAACCCAAUGUAUAGAGAUAUACAUUACCUAUAUAGGAGCGAACGAGGGGAAUUGAAACAUCUUAGUACCCUCAGGAAAAGAAAUCAAUAGAGAUUGCGUCAGUAGCGGCGAGCGAAAGCGCAAGAGGGCAAACCCAGUGCUUGCACUGGGGGUUGUAGGACUGCAAUGUGCAAGAGGUGAGUUUAGCAGAACAUUCUGGAAAGUAUAGCCAUAGAGGGUGAUAGUCCCGUAUGCGAAAAACAAACCUUAGCUAGCAGUAUCCUGAGUAGGGCGGGACACGAGAAAUCCUGUCUGAAGCUGGGUCGACCACGAUCCAACCCUAAAUACUAAUACCAGAUCGAUAGUGCACAAGUACCGUGAGGGAAAGGUGAAAAGAACUGAGGUGAUCAGAGUGAAAUAGAACCUGAAACCAUUUGCUUACAAUCAUUCAGAGCCCUAUGUAGCAAUACAGGGUGAUGGACUGCCUUUUGCAUAAUGAGCCUGCGAGUUGUGGUGUCUGGCAAGGUUAAGCAAACGCGAAGCCGUAGCGAAAGCGAGUCUGAAUAGGGCGCUUAGUCAGAUGCUGCAGACCCGAAACGAAGUGAUCUAUCCAUGAGCAAGUUGAAGCUAGUGUAAGAACUAGUGGAGGACUGAACCCAUAGGCGUUGAAAAGCCCCGGGAUGACUUGUGGAUAGGGGUGAAAGGCCAAUCAAACUUCGUGAUAGCUGGUUCUCUCCGAAAUAUAUUUAGGUAUAGCGUUGUGUCGUAAUAUAAGGGGGUAGAGCACUGAAUGGGCUAGGGCAUACACCAAUGUACCAAACCCUAUCAAACUCCGAAUACCUUAUAUGUAAUCACAGCAGUCAGGCGGCGAGUGAUAAAAUCCGUCGUCAAGAGGGAAACAACCCAGACUACCAGCUAAGGUCCCUAAAUCUUACUUAAGUGGAAAACGAUGUGAAGUUACUUAAACAACCAGGAGGUUGGCUUAGAAGCAGCCAUCCUUUAAAGAAAGCGUAAUAGCUCACUGGUCUAGUGAUUUUGCGCGGAAAAUAUAACGGGGCUAAAGUAAGUACCGAAGCUGUAGACUUGCGCACAACUUAGAUUAUUUAAGUUUAGAAUAUGAGAAACUAAGUUAUAUGUUUAGUUAUAUUUUUACUGAUUUUUAUAGAGUAAAGAUAGAAAUAAAACUUAGUAAAAUCAGUAAAAAUAUUCUUAGACUAAAGUUAAGUAGUUUAAGUUGUGUGCAAGUGGUAGGAGAGCGUUCUAUUUGCGUCGAAGGUAUACCGGUAAGGAGUGCUGGAGCGAAUAGAAGUGAGCAUGCAGGCAUGAGUAGCGAUAAUUAAUGUGAGAAUCAUUAACGCCGUAAACCCAAGGUUUCCUACGCGAUGCUCGUCAUCGUAGGGUUAGUCGGGUCCUAAGUCGAGUCCGAAAGGGGUAGACGAUGGCAAAUUGGUUAAUAUUCCAAUACCAACAUUAGUGUGCGAUGGAAGGACGCUUAGGGCUAAGGGGGCUAGCGGAUGGAAGUGCUAGUCUAAGGUCGUAGGAGGUUAUACAGGCAAAUCCGUAUAACAAUACUCCGAGAACUGAAAGGCUUUUUGAAGUCUUCGGAUGGAUAGAAGAACCCCUGAUGCCGUCGAGCCAAGAAAAGUUUCUAAGUUUAGCUAAUGUUGCCCGUACCGUAAACCGACACAGGUGGGUGGGAUGAGUAUUCUAAGGCGCGUGGAAGAACUCUCUUUAAGGAACUCUGCAAAAUAGCACCGUAUCUUCGGUAUAAGGUGUGGUUAGCUUUGUAUUAGGAUUUACUCCGAAAGCAAGGAAACUUACAACAAAGAGUCCCUCCCGACUGUUUACCAAAAACACAGCACUCUGCUAACUCGUAAGAGGAUGUAUAGGGUGUGACGCCUGCCCGGUGCUCGAAGGUUAAUUGAUGGGGUUAGCAUUAGCGAAGCUCUUGAUCGAAGCCCGAGUAAACGGCGGCCGUAACUAUAACGGUCCUAAGGUAGCGAAAUUCCUUGUCGGUUAAAUACCGACCUGCAUGAAUGGCGUAACGAGAUGGGAGCUGUCUCAAAGAGGGAUCCAGUGAAAUUGUAGUGGAGGUGAAAAUUCCUCCUACCCGCGGCAAGACGGAAAGACCCCGUGGACCUUUACUACAGCUUGACACUGCUAUUUGGAUAAGAAUGUGCAGGAUAGGUGGGAGGCUUUGAGUAUAUGACGCCAGUUGUAUAUGAGCCAUUGUUGAGAUACCACUCUUUCUUAUUUGGGUAGCUAACCAGCUUGAGUUAUCCUCAAGUGGGACAAUGUCUGGUGGGUAGUUUGACUGGGGCGGUCGCCUCCCAAAUAAUAACGGAGGCUUACAAAGGUUGGCUCAGAACGGUUGGAAAUCGUUCGUAGAGUAUAAAGGUAUAAGCCAGCUUAACUGCAAGACAUACAAGUCAAGCAGAGACGAAAGUCGGUCUUAGUGAUCCGGUGGUUCUGUGUGGAAGGGCCAUCGCUCAAAGGAUAAAAGGUACCCCGGGGAUAACAG